rnacentral:lncRNA from 1 species
GCUAAUAUCAUAAUUAACAAAGUUGCUACCAUGUCUGAGAAGUUUAAUCGAAAAAAUUGCCGGCAGUAUGAUGCCAUUGUCACAGAGAUCACAAGCACUGCAGUGUUGACUUUUGUACUGGUGGAGCCGCAGGACUAUGUAGAUGUGCAGAGAAGUCGUUCGCUGGGAUAACUAAAGUGAGCUGUGCUUGCAGACGGCGUGACUGGGCUCUGCUGGAGCUGGCCAGUGGCAUCCUGCCUCCACUCUGCUCAUCACCGCUACAGCAGCCAUACUGCGGGAACGCCAAACCUGGGAGCAGCUGCCUGAAACAAGUCCUCGCAUGCAGGGAUGUCAGCAGAAGCACAUGGAAGCACAUCAGCAAGUCUUCAGAGAGAUGGACUGCUGCUUCUGGGACCCAGUGAAGAAAGUGAGGAAUAGAUAAAAGUUAAACUUGCGGUGGAUUGACCUAAAUGGAACAUCUGGCAGAAGUAUAGAGGGGAUCCUCCAGGGUACUGAAUUAUACCUUCAGGCUUGGAUUAGUAGGAUGUUUAACAAAGAGAUCUAUUUGCCAAAAGGAUCUCUGCCUGAUUUUUAAUUAUGGAACUUUAGCACUUCAACAUUUGUAAUUUAUUGAGCUUUUCUUGUUCUCUAGUAAGGUGUAGAGUACUAACUGUUCGCUUUGGGCUCUUCUGCUUUCUUUGAACUACAAUUUUUACACGGUCGUGAUUAACGCUAUGAAUUCUAUGGAUAUGAAACAUUUCAAUAGUUUUUAUUACCAAUAACAAGAUGUAUUCUCUAUAUACAAAAUGAACAUGGACU